rnacentral:rRNA from 1 species
UACGAAGGGGGCUAGCGUUGCUCGGAAUCACUGGGCGUAAAGGGUGCGUAGGCGGGUCUUAAGUCAGGGGUGAAAUCCUGGAGCUCAACUCCAGAACUGCCUUUGAUACUGAGGGUCUUGAGUUCGGGAGAGGUGAGUGGAACUGCGAGUGUAGAGGUGAAAUUCGUAGAUAUUCGCAAGAACACCAGUGGCGAAGGCGGCUCACUGGCCCGAUACUGACGCUGAUGCACGAAAGCGUGGGGAGCAAACAGG